AACGAACGCUGGCGGCAUGCCUAACACAUGCAAGUCGAACGAGACCUUCGGGUCUAGUGGCGCACGGGUACGUAACGCGUGGGAACCUGCCCUUAGGUUCGGAAUAACUCCCCGAAAGGGGUGCUAAUACCGGAUAAUGUCUUCGGACCAAAGAUUAUCGCCUUUGGAUGGGCCCGCGUUGGAUUAGCUAGUUGGUAGGGUAAAAGCCUACCAAGGCGACGAUCCAUAGCUGGUCUGAGAGGAUGAUCAGCCACACUGGGACUGAGACACGGCCCAGACUCCUACGGGAGGCAGCAGUGGGGAAUAUUGGACAAUGGGCGAAAGCCUGAUCCAGCAAUGCCGCGUGAGUGAUGAAGGCCUUAGGGUUGUAAAGCUCUUUUACCCGGGAUGAUAAUGACAGUACCGGGAGAAUAAGCUCCGGCUAACUCCGUG
rnacentral:rRNA from 1 species